rnacentral:rRNA from 2 species
CAACGCGAAGAACCUUACCAAAUCUUGACAUCCCUCUGACCGGCGAGUAAUGUCGCCUUUCCUUCGGGACAGAGGAGACAGGUGGUGCAUGGUUGUCGUCAGCUCGUGUCGUGAGAUGUUGGGUUAAGUCCCGCAACGAGCGCAACCCUUAUCCUAAGUAGCCAGCAGUUUGGCCGGGCACUCUUGGGAGACUGCCAGGGAUAACCUGGAGGAAGGUGGGGAUGACGUCAAAUCAUCAUGCCCCUUAUGAUUUGGGCUACACACGUGCUACAAUGGCGUAAACAAAGAGAGGCGAGACCGCGAGGUGGAGCAAAUCUCAAAAAUAACGUCUCAGUUCGGACUGCAGGCUGCAACUCGCCUGCACGAAGCUGGAAUCGCUAGUAAUCGCGAAUCAGAAUGUCGCGGUGAAUACGUUCCCGGGUCUUGUACACACCGCCCGUCACACCAUGGGAGUCAGUAAUGCCCGAAGUCAGUGACCCAACCGCAAGGAGGGAGCUGCCGAAGGCAGGACCGAUAACUGGGGUGAAGUCGUAACAAGGUAGCCGUAUCGGAAGGUGCGGCUGGAUCACCUCCUUUCUAAGGAA